UGGUUUAUUCCCCAAUGUUGGCAGCACUGAUAAUCUGGCCUCCUUUUUUGUGUGAAAUAGGCACAGACCAAGUCUGAGAGCAAAGAAACCCCACACAAAAACAAAACGCUUGCGCAAGGCUGAAAGGUUAAGAUCCAAGGAGCCGAAGCGACAGCCCAGCAAGUGUCUCUCCUGAAAUUCUUUGGGGUUUGCAGGGACCAGCCAGGCCGAGGCAGCAAACUGCCUCUUCCCCACGCACCCCACAAAGGGCAGCGUGCGAGGAAACACUGGCGACCUCCGGAGCUAGGGCUUCCGUGGCGCAGGAGCAGCGAGGGAUACACCCAUAAAGCCACUACGGGCCGCAGCUCCAGCCCCGGGAACGCAGAGCAGCGCUCACUGGCUGACUCAAGCUUCGGCAGGGACACACCGACCCGGAAGUGCAGUCGUCCCCACCGCAAGUACUUCCGCUUCCCUCCGUAAGGAAGCUGGGACUCAGAGAAAUUAAGGGACUUGGUGAAGCAGAGAAUGUCAAGGGAAUUGAUUCAGUAGUGGACGGGGAGUCCCUGAAGAUUGUUGAGCAGUGAAGAGACCUGAUCAAAUACUAAAAAAGUACAUGCAAUGGCAAGAAGAUCAACUAAGAGGUAGGAAAAUUAGCCAGGAGAUCAGGUAACAUUCAAUGCAAAAUGUGAUGAAAGUUGACAUGCAAAUCUAAACAAUAU
rnacentral:lncRNA from 1 species